CAGUCGCCGCGGGAAUACAGAGGGUGCGAGCGUUAAUCGGAUUUACUGGGCGUAAAGCGUGCGUAGGCGGCUUCUUAAGUCGGAUGUGAAAUCCCUGAGCUUAACUUAGGAAUUGCAUUCGAUACUGGGAAGCUAGAGUAUGGGAGAGGAUGGUAGAAUUCCAGGUGUAGCGGUGAAAUGCGUAGAGAUCUGGAGGAAUACCGAUGGCGAAGGCAGCCAUCUGGCCUAAUACUGACGCUGAGGAGCGAAAGCAUGGGGAGCGAACAGGAUUAGAGACCCCAGUAGUCCCUGUCUCUUAUAC
rnacentral:rRNA from 1 species